rnacentral:rRNA from 1 species
GUAGUCCGCACGAGCGCACCCCUGUCCUUAGUUUGCCAUCAGGUGAUGCUGGGAACUCUAAGGAGACUGCCGGUGACAAGCCGGAGGAAGGUGGGGAUGACGUCAAGUCAUCAUGGCUCUUACGUCCAGGGCUGCACACGUGCUACAAUGGCCGGUACAAAGGGUCGCGAUACCGCGAGGUGGAGCCAAUCCCAAAAAACCGGUCUCAGUUCGGAUUACAGUCUGCAACUCGACUGUAUGAAGCUGGAAUUGCUAGUAAUCGUGGAUCAGCAUGCCACGGUGAAUACGUUCCCGGGUCUUGUACAUACCGCCCGUCAAGCCAUGGAAGCUGGGAGUGCCCGAAGUCUGUGACCCAACCUAGUGAGGGAGCAGCCGAAGGUAAGUUCGGUGACUGGGGCUAAGUCGUAACAAGGUAGCCGUAGGGGAACCUGCGGCUGGAUCACCUCCUUU